AUUGAACGCUGGCGGCAGGCCUAACACAUGCAAGUCGAGCGAGAAAGGUCUUCGGACUGAGUACAGCGGCGGACGGGUGAGUAAUGCGCAGGAAUCUACCUGGUAGUGGGGGAUAACUCGGGGAAACUCGAACUAAUACCGCAUACGCCCUACGGGGAAAGCGGGGACCUUCGGGCCUCGCGCUAUCAGAUGAGCCUGCGUAGGAUUAGCUUGUUGGUGAGGUAAAGGCUCACCAAGGCGACGAUCCUUAGCUGGUCUGAGAGGAUGAUCAGCCACACUGGAACUGAGACACGGUCCAGACUCCUACGGGAGGCAGCAGUGGGGAAUAUUGCGCAAUGGGCGAAAGCCUGACACAGCCAUGCCGCGUGUGUGAAGAAGGCCCUUGGGUUGUAAAGCACUUUCAAUUGGGAAGAAGGGUUGCGUGUUAAUAGCACGUAGCUGUGACGUUACCUUUAGAAGAAGCACCGGCUAACUCCGUGCA
rnacentral:rRNA from 1 species